AGUGAACGCUGGCGGUAGGCCUAACACAUGCAAGUCGAACGGCAGCACAGUAAGAGCUUGCUCUUACGGGUGGCGAGUGGCGGACGGGUGAGGAAUACAUCGGAAUCUACUUUUUCGUGGGGGAUAACGUAGGGAAACUUACGCUAAUCCCGCAUACGACCUACGGGUGAAAGCAGGGGAUCUUCGGACCUUGCGCGAUCGAAUGAGCCGAUGUCGGAUUAGCUAGUUGGCGGGGUAAAGGCCCACCAAGGCGACGAUCCGUAGCUGGUCUGAGAGGAUGAUCAGCCACACUGGAACUGAGACACGGUCCAGACUCCUACGGGAGGCAGCAGUGGGGAAUUUUGGACAAUGGGCGCAAGCCUGAUCCAGCCAUACCGCGUGGGUGAAGAAGGCCUUCGGGUUGUAAAGCCCUUUUGUUGGGAAAGAAAAGCAGCAGGUUAAUACCCCGCGGUUCUGACGGUACCCAAAGAAUAAGCACCGGCUAACUACGUG
rnacentral:rRNA from 1 species